GUUAACUCAUCCAUAACCAAUGCAAAAGGAUCCAGACUCAAUGCUGACUCAUGGUGGAGGCCUACUGUAAUUGGAAACUCAUGUGUCUCCCCACCGGAGGUCCUCACAUUAGUUACCACUCCCUUGUACAUUUCCUUGACCAUGUCAAUAUAUGAUCUUGAGGCUCAUUUCUUUCCCAACACCCACCAGAUUUUUAUUUUUUUUUUUUUUUUUUGAAAGAUGACUGAAAUUUUAUUAAAAGCAAACUAAAAAGAGACAAUACAAAUACAGGAGGGGCGCCGAGAAGACGGCCCACACUAUCUAAGAAAACCUAAAUUACAAAUUCUUCAGCUUAGGAUCACAAGAGGGGAGGCCCGUUCGAUAACUAAGUUCCUCGCCCUAUGGGAUGUGCUCGCACAAGGCUUGCUCAUAUUGGAGAAGCACCUCGCAUUCCUUUCUUCCCAAACCGCCCACCAAAUAGCACGAAGCACCAUUCUCCAAAGGUAUGAUCUACCUUUCCCAAGGCGGGCUCCAAAUCAAGAGGGUAUGACAUGCAUCCACUGAACUCGGGGAAACCCACAUCAUCCGAAAACGACCUAACAUAUCAGCCCAAAUGUGUCUUACAUGGGAGCAAUGCAUAAAGAGAUGGUCCACUGAUUCCUCAUCUUGCAUACACAAAAGACAUUUGGGAGCACCAUCCCUCUCUUCCAAAGAUUGUCUAUGGUGAGGACUUUCUUCCUCCCCACCCACCAGAUUGUCUAUCUGGAGACCGAAUCUUUUCCAUUUUCUUAGGCAACAGUGUUUUUAUUGAUAGGGAACUAUUAACCCGUAUAUAAGAGGGGGCAUAAAGGCCUUACUCAGAAAUCUCAUCAGACCAUUUUAUCAUCAUCCUCGUCAUCGAAGCCUUUUUUGCUUUCUUUCUUUUAAAGAUGACAAAAAAUUUAUUAAAAGAAGCAUCGAAAAGGCAAAAAACACAACUAAAGCCCAGCCAACACGGACCAAUCACUAUGGUUGGAGGCUUUAAUACAAUUUAUCCAAUCUAGAACAUCUAACUUCGCUCUUCUGAAGACAUCCAUAACCGACACACUUUUGUUUCGGAGGCACCGAUUGUAACCCCCCAACCCCCAAUCAUCUAAGCCUUAUACCAACUAAUUUGGAUUGGCUACAUGAUUGCUGUUCCACCACUGCCACUGUCAUGUCAAGAUUUGUGAGAACAAGGAUAUGGCCAAAGUUUUGUGCCAGCUACCUACCUGAACCUUUCUCCUUUAUCCAGGCUCGGGGCCACCGAUAAGCGCACAAAAACUCAAACAGGAGCAAUCUAUUCACUUUAAAACGUCUAGGAGCAUCUGAUGCAACAUACCUUAUUUCUGCAAUAUUGUCGAAGAGUUACCUUGUGGUUCCAACUAAGACAGGACGUCCUUGUCCAAAACAUGAACUCUGCUUCUUCUCAAACAUAUUCCCAUUUUUCCAAAACAUCUGCCACCUCAUUACUUUACUGACACGCAUUCUUAAUUCAAAUUGACCAUUUCAAACAGAAGUCCUUUAUAAGCUUCAAUAAAAAACUGAGUCACCCGGGGAGAGAGGCCUUCAAACCUAAGCCAUAGCUUUGAGUCACUUCCCAACUCUACAUCAUCCAAACCCAGCUGGUCACAAUGCCCUUGCCCAUCGACCAUCACUCUAAUCUCAGCAAUUAGAUUGGACAGUCCCAUAUGCAUGCCAAAAUGCAAAUAUAAAUCUACAGCAGUGGUCCCUACAACCACCACCACUUCCACCCACUCCUGGCUUACCUUUAGGCCCCAUUUGUGUUGCUGCUUAAAAUGAGUUCAUCUCAUUUUAGUUAGCAGUAAUUGUCUAUUAUAAUAUUUGCAAGUAUAAAAAAUCAUGAUAAUCCAUAAUUAAUAUAAAUUAUAAUCUCUGAGGGUGUGUUUGGUUGCACCAAAUUAGACUGAUUGAUCAUGAAAUUUAUUGCAAUCCAAAAACUCAUUUUCACUAGAUAAGUUUCGAUUUUGAGUGUCGGGAAGAUAUCAAGCAUGAUUUCCGCUUUUUCCUUGAUAUAACUGUGAAUUUCUUCUUGCAUAUAAUCGUGUGUUUUCUUUUUAAAGUGAUUGAUGGGCACUUCGAGUAUUAAUCAUCCUUCCAACUCAGUGACAAAACAACUAGUGGUGAAACCAAAGACAAAAGAAGAAUUUAAAAACGUAUUGGAACCUUACACGGCCAGGGGUUUAGACAUCAUCAGCAUUGCAGCUCUGCCAAUCUCCCAGGUCUGGUUCUUCGAGAAUUGUGCAGCAUCCUUUUGAAUGUAUGGCUCUCUCUUUUCAACCAUUCUCAUCGUAUCAGACCCGUUAACUAAUGAAUGCUUGAAAGCAUCAGCACGGUAUUUCAUUUUGCA